GGAGGGGGGCUGUGGCUCAGCGGCAGAGCUCUGGCUUGGCGUGCAGAAGGUGCCGGGUUCAAUCCCCAGCUUCUCCA
rnacentral:tRNA from 1 species